rnacentral:rRNA from 1 species
AGCGGCGGACGGGUGAGUAACGCGUGGGUAACCUGCCCUAUACACAUGGAUAACAUGCUGAAAAGUUUACUAAUACAUGAUAAUAUAUGUUUGCGGCAUCGCAGAUAUAUCAAAGUGUUAGCGGUAUAGGAUGGACCCGCGUCUGAUUAGCUAGUUGGUGAGAUAACUGCCCACCAAGGCGACGAUCAGUAGCCGACCUGAGAGGGUGAUCGGCCACAUUGGAACUGAGACACGGUCCAAACUCCUACGGGAGGCAGCAGUGGGGAAUAUUGCACAAUGGGCGAAAGCCUGAUGCAGCAACGCCGCGUGAACGAUGAAGGUCUUCGGAUCGUAAAGUUCUGUUGCAGGGGAAGAUAAUGACGGUACCCUGUGAGGAAGCCCCGGCUAACUACGUGCCAGCAGCCGCGGUAAUACGUAGGGGGCUAGCGUUAUCCGGAUUUACUGGGCGUAAAGGGUGCGUAGGUGGUCCUUCAAGUCGGUGGUUAAAGGCUACGGCUCAACCGUAGUAAGCCGCCGAAACUGGAGGACUUGAGUGCAGGAGAGGAAAGUGGAAUUCCCAGUGUAGCGGUGAAAUGCGUAGAUAUUGGGAGGAACACCAGUAGCGAAGGCGGCUUUCUGGACUGCAACUGA